rnacentral:rRNA from 1 species
GACGAACGCUGGCGGCGUGCUUAACACAUGCAAGUCGAACGAUGAAGCUGGAGCUUGCUCCGGUGGAUCAGUGGCGAACGGGUGAGUAACACGUGAGAAAUCUGCCCUUGACUCUGGGAUAACUGCGGGAAACUGUAGCUAAUACCGGAUAUUUUCCUUGGUGGGCAUCCACUGGGGAAGAAAGAAUUUCGGUCAAGGAUGAUCUCGCGGCCUAUCAGCUAGUUGGUGAGGUAAUGGCUCACCAAGGCGACGACGGGUAGCCGGCCUGAGAGGGUGACCGGCCACACUGGGACUGAGACACGGCCCAGACUCCUACGGGAGGCAGCAGUGGGGAAUAUUGCACAAUGGGCGCAAGCCUGAUGCAGCAACGCCGCGUGAGGGAUGAAGGCCUUCGGGUUGUAAACCUCCUUUAGCAGGGAAGAAGCGAAAGUGACGGUACCUGCAGAAAAAGCACCGGCUAACUGCGUGCCAGCCGCCGCCGUAA